GGUGCAGGUGAUGAUUUCAAGCGACCAAAGCCUGAGAGUUUGUGAUUAGAACCUUUUUGGUGACUGAUGCACC
rnacentral:snoRNA from 1 species